rnacentral:SRP_RNA from 1 species
GCUGGGCAUGGUGUCACAUGCCUGUAAUCCCAGCUACUUGGGAGGCUGAGGCAGGAGACUCGCUUGAACCUGGGAGGUGGAGGUUGCAGUGAGCUGAGAUUGUGUCACUGCACUCCAGCCUGGGCAAGAGAGCGAGACCCUGUCUCAA